GCUGCUGGAGAAAACAUUAAUCCUCUGCAA
rnacentral:piRNA from 1 species